GCGCUCGCUUCGGCAGCACAGAUACUAAAACUGGAAUGAUACAGGGAAGACCAGCAUGGCCCCUGUGCAAGCAGGACGUGCACAUUCGUGAAGCGUUCCGUAUUUUU
ensembl:snRNA U6 U6 spliceosomal RNA